rnacentral:rRNA from 1 species
UACGUAUGGUGCAAGCGUUAUCCGGAAUUACUGGGCGUAAAGGGUGAGUAGGCGGUCAAUUAAGUCAUAUGUGAAAAUCCAGGGCUCAACCCUGGACGUGCAUAAGAAACUGGUAGACUGGAGUGCAGGAGAGGUAAGCGGAAUUCCUAGUGUAGCGGUGAAAUGCGUAGAUAUUAGGAAGAACACCAGUGGCGAAGGCGGCUUACUGGACUGUAACUGACGCUGAGUCACGAAAGCGUGGGGAGCGAACAGG